rnacentral:rRNA from 1 species
GGCGCACGGGUGAGUAACACGUAGAUAAUCUGCCCUUCGGCGGGGGACAACGUUCCGAAAGGAGCGCUAAUACCGCAUACAGCUGAGAGUGGUUUGCCACUUUCAGGCAAAGGUAGGGACCGGCAACGGCCUAUCGCCGAGGGAGGAGUCUGCGGCCCAUCAGCUAGUUGGGGAGGUAAUGGCUCACCAAGGCAGAGACGGGUAGCUGGUCUGAGAGGAUGAUCAGCCACACUGGUACUGGAACACGGACCAGACUCCUACGGGAGGCAGCAGUGGGGAAUCUUGGUCAAUGGGCGCAAGCCUGAACCAGCGAUGCCGCGUGAGUGAUGAAGGCCUUCGGGUUGUAAAGCUCUGUGGGGAGGGACGAAAGAAUCGGUUCUAACAGGACCGACGUUGACGGUACCUCCUUAGCAAGCACCGGCUAACUCUGUGCCAGCCGCCGCGG